rnacentral:tRNA from 1 species
CCAGGAAAAAGAGACUUUAACUCCUAUCACUAACUCCCAAAGCUAGCAUUUUACUUAAACUAUCUCCUG